rnacentral:rRNA from 1 species
UACGAAGGGGGCUAGCGUUGUUCGGAAUCACUGGGCGUAAAGCGCACGUAGGCGGAUGUGUCAGUCAGGGGUGAAAUCCCGGGGCUCAACCUCGGAACUGCCUCUGAUACAGCACAUCUUGAGUCCGGAAGAGGUGGGUGGAAUUCCUAGUGUAGAGGUGAAAUUCGUAGAUAUUAGGAAGAACUCCGGUGGCGAAGGCGGCCCACUGGUCCGGUACUGACGCUGAGGUGCGAAAGCGUGGG